AGGCAGAGAAUUCAGCAUUGGCUCUGGAAAAUGAAAAUCAAAGAGAACAGUAUGAAAGGUGCCUCGAUGAGGUAGCCAACCAAGUUGUGCAAGCGCUACUUACUCAAAAGGAUCUGAGGGAAGAAUGUGUAAAGCUGAAAACAAGAGUUUUUGAUUUGGAACAACAGAAUCGAAUGCUAAGUGUGCUUUUCCAACAAAGGGUCAAACCAGCU